AGGAGAAGGAAGCUUGCUUCUUUCAAAUCUAGUGGCAAACGGGUGAGUAACACGUAAACAACCUGCCUUCAGGAUGGGGACAACAGACGGAAACGACUGCUAAUACCGCAUAAGCGCACAGCUUCGCAUGAAGCAGUGUGAAAAACUCCGGUGGUACAAGAUGGACCCGCGUCUGAUUAGCUUGUUGGUGAGGUAACGGCCCACCAAGGCGACGAUCAGUAGCCGGUCUGAGAGGGUGAACGGCCACAUUGGGACUGAGACACGGCCCAAACUCC
rnacentral:rRNA from 1 species